rnacentral:rRNA from 1 species
GUGUCAGCCGCCGCGGUAAUACGGAGGAUGCGAGCGUUAUCCGGAUUUAUUGGGUUUAAAGGGUGCGUAGGCGGAUUGGUAAGUCAGUGGUGAAAACCUGCAGCUUAACUGUGGAACUGCCAUUGAUACUGUCAGUCUUGAGUGUGGUCAAGGUAGGCGGAAUGUGUAAUGUAGCGGUGAAAUGCUUAGAUAUUACACAGAACACCGAUUGCGAAGGCAGCUUGCUGGACCAUUACUGACGCUGAUGCACGAAAGCGUGGGGAUCGAACAGGAUUAGAAACCCCAGUAGUCC